GGGGAAAGGCUCUUUGACCUGGAGGAGACGCUGGGCAGACACCGCCGGAUCCUGCAGGCUCUGCGGGGUCUCUCCAAGCAGCUGGCCCAGGCUGAGAGACAAUGGAAGAAGCAGCUGGGGCCCCCAGGCCAAGCCAGGCCUGACGGAGGCUGGGCCCUGGAUGCUUCCUGCCAGAUUCCAUCCACCCCAGGGAGGGGUGGCCACCUCUCCAUGUCACUCAAUAAGGACUCUGCCAAGGUCGGUGCCCUGCUCCAUGGACAGUGGACUCUGCUCCAGGCCCUGCAAGAGAUGAGGGAUGCAGCUGUCCGCAUGGCUGCAGAAGCCCAGGUCUCCUACCUGCCUGUGGGCAUUGAGCAUCAUUUCUUAGAGCUGGACCACAUCCUGGGCCUCCUGCAGGAGGAGCUUCGGGGCCCGGCGGUGAGGGGAAAGUAGUGGGCAGCAUGGGGUCCCCAACCUUGACGUCUGGGCUCAGCCACCCUUCUUCCAGCACUUCAGCAGCCCCAAGCCCUCCUGCCUUUGCCCUCCCCUCCCAGGACUGCUGGCAAGCACAUCUGUGCCUGCGUCAGUGUCUGUGUGUCCGUGCAUACGUGCCACCACACAUCUCAUCUUUUCUCUGUCCUCUCUCCUCUCUGAAGAGUCCCACAGACUCAGCAGCAGCAGGGCCCUGGACACCCCUCGAUCCAAUAUCCAAUGACCAGAGGGGAAACAGGGUGGGCUGUGUCCAAGAUCACUGAGUCCAGUGGUAGUCAGCGCUUCCCCAUGCCCUGUCCCAUCCUCGUUCCCUCGCCCUCACCCUGCUCACCCUGUCUUUGGCUCUUUACUUCUCUCUUCUCUUCUCUUGAACCCUGGGCCCCUUGAUGAUCCCAGGCCCCAGGCCUUCCCAGCUGUUCCCACAGAUGCAGCCAUGGGAGCUGGGGUGGGGGAGGCAGCUUUGUACACUGCCCCCUCUCCAAGUUCCCUGGAUGAGAGCCAGGACGCCCCAAGCCUGGGGAAAGGAAACGGAGCAUGCACAUGGCCUAGAUUCCAGGUCCCCCACUCCUUCUGGGUAAGAAGCUAAGCUAGGACCUUAGACUUUCCCCUUUCAGAAGGCAGCAGCCAAGGCCCCCCGCCCACCUGGCCAGCCCCCAAGGGCCUCCUCGUGCCUGCAGCCUGGCAUCUUCCUGUUCUACCUCCUCAUUCAGACUGUAGGCUUCUUCGGCUACGUGCACUUCAGGUGGGCCACCCCGUGAGCAGGAUUUCCCACAGCACUGGCAUCUCUUGGUUCUCAGCUAUAACCAUUGGAUUUAGGAGAGGGGACACUUCAGCUCAGAGGGGACCUGCCGAGUCCCCAAAUCACAAAGAGCACAGUGCGGGAUAGGGCCCAUUCUCUCACCAAGCACUACUGACCACCUGCUCGGCCCCCAGCCCCAUCUGGGUCCUGCUCUCACGGAGCUCACUCACACAGGUCUAACUGACCCUGUGUCGUCAAUGCCAUGAUGUCAGGAAGCUGAGGGGCUACGAGAGUGCAGGAGAACACACUUGACCCCCCUUGGUUAGGGAAUCAACCUGGAAGGGACAUUUGAUAUGGUCAUUAAGGUGACUAGGAGUUUUCCACCCUGACAAGAUAGGUAAAGGCAUAGAGGCAGAGGGAACAGCAUGAGAAAAGGCAGGGAGGCAUGAGAAAAACAUAAUAUUUUAGAGAAAAAGUGGCAAGUUCAGUAAUGUUGGAGCAAAGGGCAGGACGAGUUUGUGAAAUUGGGCAAAGAGAUCUGAAAAAGUGAGAGGAGGUCACUAGUUUUGCUUGGUGUGUGUUUGCUGAAUGAACGUGCACCGUUUAGAGAUGUGGGGUGUGCUAAAGGCCUCAGCAAUGAGACUGACAAUCUUUGUUGGUGGAAUUUCAAGACAAGAAGAGUCCGUGUGGGCUGGGAUGGUCCUGGAGGAGGAGUAAAAUGAGCUAAGCUUUAAAAAGCACAAGGUAGAAAUGCUCACAGGCUUCAGCACAUGCACAGGAGUGCAGUGGUGGCAAUCAGCCUGGAGCCACUAGGACAGACCUUACAUGCCCAGGGGGAAAGCGUGGACCAUAUGCAGCGGGCCAAAGGAGCCACAGAAAGUCCAAGAACAGCGGAGGUUGUGGUGCAGUGAGUGUAGCAAGGCAAGCAUGAGAGUCCUGGUUUUUCAAAAGCCCAUAAAGGAGAGACGCAAGUAACCUGUAACCUUCUCUCUGGCAGCAGGCAGGAGCUGAACAAGAGCCUUCAGGAGUGUCUGUCCACAGGCAGCCUUCCUCUGGGUCCUGCACCACACACCCCCAGGGCCCUGGGGAUUCUGAGGAGGCAGCCUCUCCCUGCCAGCAUGCCUGCCUGACCCACCUCAGAGCCUGCUUUGCAUCACUGGGAAGCAGGCAGUGUCUUGGGUGGGGGCUUGGUCAGUAUCCUCUCCGUCUGGGUGCCCAGCUCCCACGCACACCUGAGCUUUCGGCAUGCUCCCACCUCGUUAAAGGUGAUUUCCCUCUCCCCAUGCUGUGAUAUGCUGGUCUUCUUUCCAGCCUCACCCUAAUCUCUGUGAAGGCUUCCACCCCUUCUGAGUACCUGGCUGGGAGUGCGCUCCAAGCAGGCAAGGAGGCCAAGGCCUGGCUUAACCUCCAAAAGACCGGAUACCCCACGGGCUUUGAACCCUCGACUAUGGAGGGAAAGAGAGCCAUGACUGUAUAUAAUUCUGUCCUCAAACUCACCCAUAACAGAGAGCAGUGUCUCCCAGUGUCCCUCCUGGCCCAGCUCAGCCAGCAUCACUGAGCAGCUCUCUCCCUCCCCACUCCUAGCUGCUCCAGGGGCAGCAGGGGAGGCGCGUGACAGAGCAACCCUGAGAGGCCAACUCGUGGAACCAUAACUGGGAUUCCCGCUCGCGCCCUCAGGUCUCCCUCCCUUUUCCAGCGUCAAGCUCUCUGGGCAGCUGCUGGGUUCAGUGACUUGGGUGGGUGGGGAGAAUGGGGGGCACCCAAGGCUGGGUUUUUACCCCUUGCUGCUACCUGGAUCUCCCAGCUGAAAUCCUAGUUAUUAGUGGCCCAGGAGAGGAGAAAGUUGGAAGAGGCUAUGGAACAGGGUUCCGGGAGUGUAUGAGCUCAACCCCUCUCCCGGGAGAGCGACCCCACCACCGCAGGCCCUAAUCCUCUGUCAGCAGUGCCCAGCGGAGCUCGGCGUUGAAGGAGGCACGUGGGGGAGGCGGGAGUGGGGAGCGGGCACGUGGUCCAGCCUUCUCAGCCCCGUGCUGCCCCCCGCCCCCAGUGAGGAGGGGUUUGGGGAGGUGGGGGCGGGCCCGGGCGGGGGCGGGCGGCGGGCGGUGCCAAGCGUGGGGCGCGGGCCCGCGGCGGGAGCUGUCCGCGAAACCUAGUGCUGAAGUAGGCGCGGACGUGCCCGGUGCCUGGCGCGUGGUAGCAGGCGCCCGGUGCCCCGGCCGGCGAAGACCAUGGCGUUCAUGGUGAAGACCAUGGUGGGCGGCCAGCUGAAGAACCUCACUGGGAGCCUGGGAGGCGGCGAGGAUAAGGGAGAUGGGGACAAGUCGGCAGCCGAAGCUCAGGGCAUGAGCCGGGAGGAGUACGAGGAGUAUCAGAAGCAACUCGUGGAAGAGAAGAUGGAGCGGGAUGCACAGUUCACACAGAGGAAGGCAGAGCGGGCCACACUGCGGAGCCACUUCCGAGACAAAUACCGGCUACCCAAGAACGAGACAGAUGAGAGCCAGAUCCAGAUGGCAGGUGGAGACGUGGAGCUGCCCCGGGAGCUGGCCAAGAUGAUCGAGGAGGACACAGAGGAGGAGGAGGAGAAGGCCUCAGUCCUUGGGCAGCUGGCCAGCCUUCCUGGCUUGAACCUGGGCUCACUCAAGGACAAGGCCCAGGCCACACUGGGGGAUCUCAAGCAAUCAGCUGAGAAGUGUCACGUCAUGUGACCACUUCCCCGGGGUUACCCACUGGGCUGGGCCCCCAUGAGGGCUAAGAGUGUGUCAACUUCCAGGGACCCAUACUCCAUUUGGGGCUUUGUUUCCCUUGCCCCAUCCUAGUUCCAAGACCUUUCCCAUCCAUGCCCCAAGCCUAUCUUCUGGUUUCUUCCUCUCCGCUGGGAGUAAAGUCCCCAUCUUCACUCUACCCUUCAGGACCCUCCCCACCAGCUCAGCCUGUGGAGGCCUCCCAAGAUUGUAGGAAUAGGCCCAUCCCUCUCUGGCCAUGGCCCCAAGUUCCUGCACACAGGAGCACCCACAGAGAGACACACACAGGACACAAAACCCCUGGCACGUUCAGAGACAGAAGCCACAGAUACAUCCCGGCACAGACAGACACACACGAGGCCAGCUCCCUUGCGUGUCCAGCCCCUCCAGACACCACCACUCAGAAACUCUGAGAGAGAGCAUGGGCAGACACCCUCAGCAGACAGGAGGCCUGAGUUCCAGUCUCCACCUUUAUUGUUCUUGAAAGCCCCUGCUCUCUCUGAGCCUUAUUUCAUCAUCUGUAAAAUGGGAAUGUCCUGAAUGACUUCUAAGGCUCUUUCUGGCUUGAACUGUCAGAGCCAAGCCCACAUCCCUCCUUGGGCAGGGCAGCAGCUGCUGCCACAGCCUCCAGCGGCUGCCACUGUGGGCUCUGGGAGCCGGAGCGAUGCUGUGUGAGAGGCAGAGUGCCAAGGAUGAAGCUGGCACUGAACAGUAAGCGGCUCCAGGCCUCCUCUGGGCCCAGGGCCCAGCCAAUUUCUGUUCUGUUCCUGUAGAACGCUCUCUGGAUUCCAUAGCUGGAAUCUCCUCUCUUAGCUCAGUGAAAAAUAAAAAUCCCAAAUGGUGUGCCUACCUUCCCACUUCUUACUGGCUUCCAGGAGUCUUGGAGUUCAUAGCCCCCCGAGCCUGCCUUAAAGGGGUGUCCUCCACCCCCCACCUACAGCUUCACAGGAGGGGAGAAGGCAUCCAGUGCUAGGAGUAGAAGUGUCUCCAGCUCUGUUCUCUUGGGGCCCUGGGUGAAGGUGGGGUCUGGGGCUUAUGAAAUAGGUCUGGGCUUUGAGGAGGAUGGAGCAGCCUCAUUAUGUGGGGAAGAUGGGGCCUCUGGGGCGUCACUGAGACCACAGGUGGGGCCGGGGCUGGACCGCAGCUGUCUUGGGUGCCUGUGCCUACACCCCUCCUCACCCUAGAGACGGAAGAUGUGCAAAAAGAAAGAAGGAAGGGCAACUGCAUUCCAGCCCCACACUGUGAUGACUUUGAGCCUGUCCUUUCCCUCCUUGAGCCUGUCUUGCUUGUCCCCUGUAAAAUGAACAGUCCCCCUCUCCCCCAAAUAGUAAUAAUACAUGUUUCAAAGGGUGACCAUUUAUAAAGCAUAUGACAAACCAUAUCAAUAAAUGUAACUCAUUCUUUU
ensembl:lncRNA novel transcript